rnacentral:lncRNA from 1 species
UGGCUAACACGGUGAAACCCCAUCUCUACUAAAAAAAAAAAAAAAAAACUUAGCCUGGCACGGUGGCUGGCGCCUGUAGUCCCAGCUACUCAGGAGGCUGAGGCAGGAGAAUGGCAUGAACCUGGGAGGUGGAGCUUGCAGUGAGCCGAGAUCGUGCCACUGCACUCCAGCCUGGGGGACAGAGCGAGACUCCAUCUCAAAAAAAAAAAAAAUCUAGAACUAAUAAGGAGGAUGGGAUGCCCCUCUUUCUUCCGAGGCACAGCACUUGAGAGCUGGGUGACAUAUAGGGUACCCAGCUAUGCAGUUCCCACAUGUCCUGCAAGUGUUUCUUGCCUACACUGUAUCAGGUGCUGUCUGACUCUCGGGGUUUAUAGCAGCACAUACAACCGACAAAAAUCCUGGCCUUUGUGGAACUUAAAUUCUAGUGGGGAAGACAAUAAAUAAAGUAAAUACA